rnacentral:rRNA from 1 species
AUUGAACGCUGGCGGCAGGCCUAACACAUGCAAGUCGAACGAGUGGCGGACGGGUGAGUAAUGUCUGGGAAACGGCCCGAUGGAGGGGGAUAACUACUGGAAACGGUAGCUAAUACCGCAUACCAUCGGAUGUGCCCAGAUGGGAUUAGCUAGUAGGUGGGGGAAAGGCUCACCUAGGCGACGAUCCCUAGCUGGUCUGAGAGGAUGACCAGCCACACUGGAACUGAGACACGGUCCAGACUCCUACGGGAGGCAGCAGUGGGGAAUAUUGUACAAUGGGCGCAAGCCUGAUGCAGCCAUGCCGCGUGUAUGAAGAAGGCCUUCGGGUUGUAAAGUACUUUCAGCGGGGAGGCGUUACCCGCAGAAGAAGCACCGGCUAACUCCGUGCCAGCAGCCGCGGUAAUAC